rnacentral:rRNA from 2 species
UACGAAGGGGGCAAGCGUUGUUCGGAAUUACUGGGCGUAAAGGGAGUGUAGGCGGUUAUGUAAGAUAGUGGUGAAAUCCCAGAGCUUAACUUUGGAAUUGCCAUUAUGACUAUGUGGCUAGAAUUACAGAGAGGAUAGUGGAAUACCCAGUGUAGAGGUGAAAUUCGUAGAUAUUGGGUAGAACACCAGUGGCGAAGGCGACUAUCUGGCUGUAUAUUGACGCUGAGGCUCGAAAGCAUGGGGAUCAAACAGG